GCGUGUUUGUUUUGCAGGUACGAGGGUCGGAGGUGCUGACGUGGGAGGAGUAGUGGCUGAAGGCUUAAGGGGCUAGGGUUUUUUUGUUUGUUUUGUUUAGAUGUUGGGUUAAUUUGGCUAGGGUUUUGGUUUUUAAUUUGUAAAUGGACUGUUUAAAUUUUGACUUUUUAUUUUAUUUAUUUGGUUUGGGUUUAGUUUUGUAAUUGUGAUUUGGGCCUAGGCCAAAAUUGACCUAUUACAGCUGCCCCUCUUUGCUCAUUGUCAUGUAACGAGAAUGGAGCAAAGACUUUAAAAGGCCAAUUUUGUCUGGUCUUGCCGAAUCUUG
rnacentral:lncRNA from 1 species